rnacentral:rRNA from 1 species
UACGGUAGGGUGCGAGCGUUGUCCGGAAUUAUUGGGCGUAAAGGGCUCGUAGGCGGUUUGUCGCGUCGGGAGUGAAAUCCACUGGCUUAACUGGUGGCUUGCUUUCGAUACGGGCAGACUGGAGGUAUGCAGGGGAGAACGGAAUUCCUGGUGUAGCGGUGAAAUGCGUAGAUAUCGAGGAGGAACACCUGCGGUGUAGACGGCUUACUGGACGGUAACUGACGCUGAGGCACGAAAGCGUGGGUAGCAAACAGG